rnacentral:rRNA from 1 species
UACGUAGGUGGUUUAUUAAGUCAGAUGUGAAAGCCCCGGGCUUAACCUGGGAACUGCAUUUGAUACUGGUAAACUAGAGUAUGGUAGAGGGGGGUAGAAUUUCUAGUGUAGCGGUGAAAUGCGUAGAUAUUAGAAGGAAUACCAGUGGCGAAGGCGGCCCCCUGGACCAAUACUGACACUGAGGUACGAAAGCGUGGGUAGCGAACAGGAUUAGAUACCCUGGUAGUCC